rnacentral:lncRNA from 1 species
AUGCUAUGUGGGGAAGCCCUGAGCUGCUGACCAAACUAUCCACAGUGAAACAGUCACCUCACAAAUCAUCCGCCCCAUCCAGCACUGGGAUUAACCUAAAAUACGCGUGCAGAUCGUUGCAAGCAGAAAGCACAGGCAGAGGCACAGCUGCCUGAAAUCUGCUUGGGGGGGAAGGCGGUGGUGUCAGCCUGAGAGAAGUGAGGCCUGGCACCUUGCUCUUGUCAGAUCUUUGAGCGCUGGGAGAGGUGCACGAUGGGAAGGCAUGCAGGACUUCUGUGGAGUCAGCUGCGUGUGGAUGUUAUUGCAGUACAGCAACCUGGGAGUUGUACGGGGUGCUGGAGCGUGCAUGCUAGAAAAUAAUUAAAGGUGGCUGAGGGAAAGACACUUGGAAUUGCUCAUAACGCCUGUGUGGUUCAGAAGCAGUCAGAAGCGAACGCGCAAAAAUUCCUCAGGGGAAGGCACUGGAAACAAAUAGCCUUAGUCUUGCUUUCCUACCAUUUGGAAGCAGGCUUCCUGUGAGAUAAACUGCUGUGGACCUCAGGGUCUGAUCCUGACUUCCUUAUACCGCUGGGUUCUCAGUGGUGACUGGCAGAUGGGACCAGCUCUGCUGCUGGGGCCCGGGAGCCUACAGCUGCGUUAAUUAAGGCCUUCAGCACUGAGGCAGCUCUCAGUCACCUGUCCUGCUGACGGUGUAGAUAGUAAGGCAGACUGGAAAGACACCAGGUUAGCUAAGUGCUUCCUGUCAUUUGGGGAUGACCUGUGAUUUUCACUCCAAUGAGAAAACAUGGCGUUCAGUAGGAGACUGAGAAACAGGGUUGUGUCAAGUCAUUCGCCAGAGUCUUUUUAAAAUCCCGUUACAAUUUUGGACUGAACAGCCAAUUUAAAUUCAUCUGUUUUUGCCCGUUGCUGAUUUUAUUUAAGCUGAACUGCGUUCAAAAGACAUUCAAGCGACACGCAAGCAAUAAAUGUGCAGAUGGUGGGUGGGUAGAUGGAUAAUUUAUGACCUCGAAGAAGCUAUACGCCAACUUUACCAGUUGUAAAUGAUGUCCUAUGUGUUUCGAACCUUUGACACUUUAAACUCUAGUUAACAUGUAUGAUGAUUUAGCCCGCAGAGCAGUUCCACCCUGAAAUAAAGCAUUUCUUUGAUUAAAGGAUCUCUUAAGGGAAUAUUUAAUGUAUCAGGUAACAGCAAAGCCCCUUUUACUUAGCAAAUAAUUCCAGAUUUCCAAAACUGUGCAAAUUGAGAUUGUACUGGCAAUUCCAUAUCUGCUUCGUAGGAACCAUGGUUCUCAUUUCUAACUAGAUUUUUAAAAGGUAAUAAUAAAAUACUGGAAAUGCAAACAGUGCAUUGAUUAAAAAUAUGCAGGCUUUUCUUGGAAAAUAAAAAGACCAUAGAGGUAGUUGAAUGUACUUUCAGGUAUGUGGAUGCAUGCCAUUAUUUCAUGGAAACCAGGAUAUGCAGCGCUGGAAGAGAUCUCAAGAUGUUUUCUGGGCCGAGUGCUCCUGGACGUUGUUUAUCACCGCUGAUAUACAAGCUGUUUCUGGAAUGCUCAUGAGGGAAGAUCACCUAUUUCUUGGGAUAAACCCAUCUGGAAGCUUCUGCUCUGUGGGAAGACACCAGGCCAUCUGUGUGUGAAGCAUGAAGAUUAUGGACAAAAGGCCAUUAAGAGUGGGUGCUGGCCCAAGUUAUGUCUACAGAAAUGGUGCAGAUACCUGAACAAUUGCUAUUCCCUUAACCCAGAGUGGAAGGAUGAAUGCUCCUCAUGAUUUUACCAUCACAUUAAUGUGUUUUGCAGUGGUGAUGUUUUGAGUUGGUGUUUGGACCAUCUCUCCUCCGUUCCCAGAGCUGGAUUCAUGAGCAUUAGACAAGUUGAUGGGAAGGCCAUAAUUGGUGAAUAAAGUCUGGUUAAUCUCACUGUUCUUUGGAUCUUUUUGUUCUUCCUUCCACUUUUUCCUUCCAUCACUCAGAUGGGAAAAAUAUUAGUGAUCUGGAGUCAGCUGCAGCCAGAGGAGUGCCUAUCUUCUAUUUCAU